GACGAACGCUGGCGGCGUGCCUAAUACAUGCAAGUCGAACGCAGUGGGGACGGGUGAGUAACACGUGGGUAACCUCCCAUCAGAGGGGAUAACACUUGGAAACAGGUGCUAAACCGAUAUUGACGGAUGGACCCGCGGUGCAUUAGCUAGUUGGUGAGGUAACGGCUCACCAAGGCCACGAUGCAUAGCCGACCUGAGAGGGUGAUCGGCCACACUGGGACUGAGACACGGCCCGGACUCCGACGCGAGACAUCAGUAGGAAAGCUUCGGCUAUGGACGAAAGUCUGACCGAGCAACUCCGCGUAAAGGAAGAAGGUUUUCGGAUCGUAAGACUCUGUUGUUAGAGUAGCGGUAUCUAACCAGAAAGCGACGGCUAUCUACGUGCCAGCAGCCGCGGUAAUAC
rnacentral:rRNA from 1 species